AUUGAACGCUGGCGGCAGGCCUAACACAUGCAAGUCGAACGAGUGGCGGACGGGUGAGUAAUGUCUGGGAACCUGCCUGAUUGAGGGGGCUAAUUACUGGAAAUGGUAGCUAAUCCCGCAUACAAUCGGAUGUGCCCAGAUGGGAUUAGCUAGGAGGUGGGGUAAAGGCUCACCUAGGCGACGAUCCCUAGCUGGUCUGAGAGGAUGACCAGCCAGACGGGAACGGAGGAACGGUCCAGACGCCAACGGGAGGGAGCAGGGGGGAAUAGUGCACAAGGGGGGGAAGCCGGAUGCGGCCAUACCGCGGAUAUGAAGAAGGCGGUCGGGGUGUAAGGGACUUUAAGCGGAGAGGCGUUACCCGAAGAAGAGGGACCGGCUAACGCCGUGCCAGCAGCCGCGGUAAUUC
rnacentral:rRNA from 1 species